GUGGUUGUCCCCCUCCGCUCAGCUCUUGUGAGGCUCCAUCUGCAGUACUGCAUCCAGGCCUGGGGCCCACAGCACAGGAAGGAUGCAGAGCUCUUGGAAUGGGUCCAGAGGAGGGCCACUAAGAUGGUCAGAGGGCUGCAGCACCUCUGCUAUGAAGAAAGGUUGAGGAAACUGGGCUUGUGGAGCUUGGAAAAGAGAAGGCUCCAGGGAGAACUCAGCAUGGCCUUCCAAUAUUUGAAGGGAGUGUAUAAACAGGAGGGGGAUUGACUGUUUACAUGGGUUGAUAGCGAUAAGAGAAGGGGGAAUGGUUUUAAAUUAAGACAGGGAGAUUGAAGUUAGAUGUUAGGAGGAAGUUUUCCACACAGAGGGUGGUGACGCACUGGAACAGGUUGCCCAAGGAGGUUGUGGAUGCCCCAUUCCUGGAAGCAUUGAAGGCCAGGCUGGAUGCGGCUCUGGGCAGCCUGGUCUGGUGGUUGGCGACCUUGCAUGUAGCAGGGGGGUUGAAACUCCAUGAUCAUUGUGGUCCUUUUCAACCCAGGCCAUUCUAUGAUUCCGUGUUGAGCAUACAAACAGGUAGCCCAACCAGCAAAUUUCCUAUCUAGCAAUAGCUGUCAGGCACCAGCACUCAUUCUGCUCACUGUGAUUCAUUCUACAGUCUUCCCUCGCAAGUCUGAUGCAGGACUUCCCUCCUGCUUAAACCUAAUCAGCUCUCAGGGCAUGAAAAGGGAACCACAGCUGCACAUCCACCAUGUUCCUGAGCCCAGCCUCAAACUUCCCACAGACUCCUACCCCUGUGAGAAACCACAUCCACAAGUUUUGCACUGUCUCCAGGGUCUAAAGAUUUGCUGUGUCUUAGCUCCUAACAGACUUUAAAUUUAUUUCUCACUCUUCUUGCUGUGAAAGGACACACCAUUCUUCCAGACAGACAGUCCCUCUAGCUCUUUUCUGCUUAACUGUUGUCACUCAUACCUUCCUUUCUGUACCAGAUGUUGUGCAGUCAUACCCAUGGACAAUACAGUCACCCGCUGUUUAAAUGAUCACUUCAGACUAACCAAUAAAUAACCGUUAAUUUCAACUCUACCAUAAGGCCACAG
ensembl:lncRNA